AGCUCCAAUAGCGUAUAUUAAAGUUGUUGCAGUUAAAAAGCUCGUAGUUGGAUUUCUGGGAGAGUGCCAAUGUCCGCCGAAGUGCGUGCGCAGCGGCGCUCUUUCAUCCUUCUGUUAACGGCUCUUGGCAUUUAUUUGCUGGUGUCGGGCUCAGAUAUUUUACCUUGAGAAAAUUAGAGUGUUUCAGGCAGGCUAGGCCGGAAUACAUUAGCAUGGAAUAAUGGAAUAGGACUACGGUCUCUUUGUUGGUUUGAGGGACUGCAGUAAUGAUUAAUAGGGAUAGUUGGGGGCAUUAGUAUUUAAUUGUCAGAGGUGGAAUUCUCGGAUUUGUUAAAGACUAACUUAUGCGAAAGCAUUUGUCAAGGAUGUUUUCAUUA
rnacentral:rRNA from 1 species